rnacentral:rRNA from 1 species
CAAAAGAACGAGGUAGAUGAAGAGGUCUGGAAAGGCCCGCCAUAGGAGGUAACAGCCCUGUAGUCAAAACUUCGUUCUCUCCUGAGUGGAUCCUGAGUACGGCGGAACACGUGAAAUUCCGUCGGAAUCCGGGAGGACCAUCUCCCAAGGCUAAAUACUCCCUAGUGACCGAUAGUGAACCAGUACCGUGAGGGAAAGGUGAAAAGCACCCCGGAAGGGGAGUGAAAGAGAUCCUGAAACCGUGUGCCUACAAGUAGUCAGAGCCCGUUAACGGGUGAUGGCGUGCCUUUUGUAGAAUGAACCGGCGAGUUACGAUCCCGUGCAAGGUUAAGUUUGAAAAGACGGAGCCGCAGCGAAAGCGAGUCUGAAUAGGGCGCAUGAGUACGUGGUCGUAGACCCGAAACCAGGUGAUCUACCCAUGUCCAGGGUGAAGUUCAGGUAACACUGAAUGGAGGCCCGAACCCACGCACGUUGAAAAGUGCGGGGAUGAGGUGUGGGUAGGGGUGAAAUGCCAAUCGAACCUGGAGAUAGCUGGUUCUCUCCGAAAUAGCUUUAGGGCUAGCCUCAAGGUAAGAGUCUUGGAGGUAGAGCACUGAUUGGACUAGGGGCCCCUACCGGGUUACCGAAUUCAGUCAAACUCCGAAUGCCAAAGACUUAUCCUUGGGAGUCAGACUGCGAGUGAUAAGAUCCGUAGUCGAAAGGGAAACAGCCCAGACCGCCAGCUAAGGUCCCAAAGUAUACGUUAAGUGGAAAAGGAUGUGGAGUUGCUUAGACAACCAGGAUGUUGGCUUAGAAGCAGCCACCAUUUAAAGAGUGCGUAAUAGCUCACUGGUCGAGUGACUCUGCGCCGAAAAUGUACCGGGGCUAAACGUAUCACCGAAGCUGCGGACUGUUCUUGCGAACAGUGGUAGGAGAGCGUUCUAAGGGCUGUGAAGCGAGACCGGAAGGACUCGUGGAGCGCUUAGAAGUGAGAAUGCCGGUAUGAGUAGCGAAAGAGGGGUGAGAAUCCCCUCCACCGAAUGCCUAAGGUUUCCUGAGGAAGGCUCGUCCGCUCAGGGUUAGUCGGGACCUAAGCCGAGGCCGAAAGGCGUAGGCGAUGGACAACAGGUUGAUAUUCCUGUACCACCUCCUCACCAUUUGAGCAAUGGGGGGACGCAGGAGGAUAGGGCAAGCGCGGUAUUGGAUAUCCGCGUCCAAGCAGUUAGGCUGGGAAAUAGGCAAAUCCGUUUCCCGUAAGGCUGAGCUGUGAUGGCGAGCGAAAUAUAGUAGCGAAGUUCCUGAUUCCACACUGCCAAGAAAAGCCUCUAGCGAGGUGAGAGGUGCCCGUACCGCAAACCGACACAGGUAGGCGAGGAGAGAAUCCUAAGGUGAUCGAGAGAACUCUCGUUAAGGAACUCGGCAAAAUGACCCCGUAACUUCGGGAGAAGGGGUGCUCUGUUAGGGUGCAAGCCCGAGAGAGCCGCAGUGAAUAGGCCCAGGCGACUGUUUAGCAAAAACACAGGUCUCUGCGAAGCCG